GGCACUAAAUAACGAACAUUCUUGAAAAAAUCGAGAUUGUGACCAAAUUUUAUUUUUUUUAGAAGUUAUGAAGGGGUGGCAACUAUCUAAACUUAUGUUAGUGUAUACUCAAAAGUAUCCUUAAUAUCACUAUUAAAACAAAACUCAUGCACUCCGAUUUGCAUAAAAGUAAGAGGGCACUAAAUAACGAACAUUCUUGAAAAAAUCGGGAUUUUGACCAAAUUUUAUUUUUUCUAGAGGUUAUGAAGGGGUGGCAACUAUCUAAACUUAUGUUAGUGUAUACUCAAAAGUAUCCUUAAUAUCACUAUUAAAACAAAACUCAUGCACUCCGAUUUGCAUAAAAGUAAGAGAGCACUAAAUAACGAACAUUCUUGAAAAAAUCGGGAUUUUGACCAAAUUUUAUUUUUUUUAGAAGUUAUGAAGGGGUGGCAACUAUCUAAACUUAUGUUAGUGUAUACUCAAAAGUAUCCUUAAUAUCACUAUUAAAACAAAACUCAUGCUCUCCGAUUUGCAUAAAAAUAAGAGGGCACUAAAUAACGAACAUUCUUAAAAAAAUCGGGAUUUUGACCAAACUUAAUUUUUUCUAGAGGUUAUGAAGGGGUGGCAACUAUCUAAACUUAUGUUAGUGUAUACUCAAAAGUAUCCUUAAUAUCACUAUUAAAACAAAACUCAUGCACUCCGAUUUGCAUAAAAGUAAGAGGGCACUAAAUAACGAACAUUCUUGAAAAAAUCGGGAUUUUGACCAAAUUUUAUUUUUUUUAGAAGUUAUGAAGGGGUGGCAACUAUCUAAACUUAUGUUAGUGUAUACUUAAAAGUAUCCUUAAUAUCACUAUUAAAACAAAACUCAUGCACUCCGAUUUGCAUAAAAGUAAGAGGGCACUAAAUAACGAACAUUCUUGAAAAAAUCGGGAUUUUGACCAAAUUUUAUUUUUUUUAGAAGUUAUGAAGGGGUGGCAACUAUCUAAACUUAUGUUAGUGUAUACUCAAAAGUAUCCUUAAUAUCACUAUUAAAACAAAACUCAUGCACUCCGAUUUGCAUAAAAGUAAGAGGGCACUAAAUAACGAACAUUCUUGAAAAAAUCGGGAUUUUGACCAAACUUAAUUUUUUUUACAGGUUAUGAAGGGGUGGCAACUAUCUAUACUUAUGAUAGUGUAUACUCAAAAGUAUCCUUAAUAUCACUAUUAAAACAAAACUCAUGCACUCCGAUUUGCAUAAAAGUAAGAGGGCACUAAAUAACGAACAUUCUUGAAAAAAUCGGGAUUUUGACCAAAUUUUAUUUUUUUUAGAGGUUAUGAAGGGGUGGCAACUAUCUAAACUUAUGUUAGUGUAUACUCAAAAGUAUCCUCAAUAUCACUAUUAAAACAAAACUCAUGCACUCCGAUUUGCAUAAAAAUAAGAGGGCACUAAAUAACGAACAUUCUUAAAAAAAUCGGGAUUUUGACCAAACUUAAUUUUUUCUAGAGGUUAUGAAGGGGUGGCAACUAUCUAAACUUAUGUUAGUGUAUACUCAAAAGUAUCCUUAAUAUCACUAUUAAAACAAAACUCAUGCACUCCGAUUUGCAUAAAAGUAAGAGGGCACUAAAUAACGAACAUUCUUGAAAAAAUCGGGAUUUUGACCAAACUUAAUUUUUUCUAGAGGUUAUGAAGGGGUGGCAACUAUCUAAACUUAUGUUAGUGUAUACUCAAAAGUAUCCUUAAUAUCACUAUUAAAACAAAACUCAUGCACUCCGAUUUGCAUAAAAGUAAGAGAGCACUAAAUAACGAACAUUCUUGAAAAAAUCGGGAUUUUGACCAAACUUAAUUUUUUCUAGAGGUUAUGAAGGGGUGGCAACUAUCUAAACUUAUGAUAGUGUAUACUCAAAAGUAUCCUUAAUAUCACUAUUAAAACAAAACUCAUGCACUCCGAUUUGCAUAAAAGUAAGAGGGCACUAAAUAACGAACAUUCUUGAAAAAAUCGGGAUUUUGACCAAAUUUUAUUUUUUUUAGAGGUUAUGAAGGGGUGGCAACUAUCUAAACUUAUGUUAGUGUAUACUCAAAAAUAUCCUCAAUAUCACUAUUAAAACAAAACUCAUGCACUCCGAUUUGCAUAAAAAUAAGAGGGCACUAAAUAACGAACAUUCUUAAAAAAAUCGGGAUUUUGACCAAACUUAAUUUUUUCUAGAGGUUAUGAAGGGGUGGCAACUAUCUAAACUUAUGUUAGUGUAUACUCAAAAGUAUCCUUAAUAUCACUAUUAAAACAAAACUCAUGCACUCCGAUUUGCAUAAAAGUAAGAGGGCACUAAAUAACGAACAUUCUUGAAAAAAUCGGGAUUUUGACCAAACUUAAUUUUUUUUACAGGUUAUGAAGGGGUGGCAACUAUCUAUACUUAUGAUAGUGUAUACUCAAAAGUAUCCUUAAUAUCACUAUUAAAACAAAACUCAUGCACUCCGAUUUGCAUAAAAGUAAGAGGGCACUAAAUAACGAACAUUCUUGAAAAAAUCGGGAUUUUGACCAAAUUUUAUUUUUUUUAGAGGUUAUGAAGGGGUGGCAACUAUCUAAACUUAUGUUAGUGUAUACUCAAAAGUAUCCUCAAUAUCACUAUUAAAACAAAACUCAUGCACUCCGAUUUGCAUAAAAAUAAGAGGGCACUAAAUAACGAACAUUCUUAAAAAAAUCGGGAUUUUGACCAAACUUAAUUUUUUCUAGAGGUUAUGAAGGGGUGGCAACUAUCUAAACUUAUGUUAGUGUAUACUCAAAAGUAUCCUUAAUAUCACUAUUAAAACAAAACUCAUGCACUCCGAUUUGCAUAAAAGUAAGAGGGCACUAAAUAACGAACAUUCUUGAAAAAAUCGGGAUUUUGACCAAACUUAAUUUUUUCUAGAGGUUAUGAAGGGGUGGCAACUAUCUAAACUUAUGUUAGUGUAUACUCAAAAGUAUCCUUAAUAUCACUAUUAAAACAAAACUCAUGCACUCCGAUUUGCAUAAAAGUAAGAGAGCACUAAAUAACGAACAUUCUUGAAAAAAUCGGGAUUUUGACCAAACUUAAUUUUUUUUACAGGUUAUGAAGGGGUGGCAACUAUCUAAACUUAUGAUAGUGUAUACUCAAAAGUAUCCUUAAUAUCACUAUUAAAACAAAACUCAUGCACUCCGAUUUGCAUAAAAGUAAGAGGGCACUAAAUAACGAACAUUCUUGAAAAAAUCGGGAUUUUGACCAAACUUAAUUUUUUUUACAGGUUAUGAAGGGGUGGCAACUAUCUAAACUUAUGAUAGUGUAUACUCAAAAGUAUCCUUAAUAUCACUAUUAAAACAAAACUCAUGCACUCCGAUUUGCAUAAAAGUAAGAGGGCACUAAAUAACGAACAUUCUUGAAAAAAUCGGGAUUUUGACCAAAUUUUAUUUUUUUUAGAGGUUAUGAAGGGGUGGCAACUAUCUAAACUUAUGUUAGUGUAUACUCAAAAAUAUCCUCAAUAUCACUAUUAAAACAAAACUCAUGCACUCCGAUUUGCAUAAAAAUAAGAGGGCACUAAAUAACGAACAUUCUUAAAAAAAUCGGGAUUUUGACCAAACUUAAUUUUUUCUAGAGGUUAUGAAGGGGUGGCAACUAUCUAAACUUAUGUUAGUGUAUACUCAAAAGUAUCCUUAAUAUCACUAUUAAAACAAAACUCAUGCACUCCGAUUUGCAUAAAAGUAAGAGGGCACUAAAUAACGAACAUUCUUGAAAAAAUCGGGAUUUUGACCAAACUUAAUUUUUUUUACAGGUUAUGAAGGGGUGGCAACUAUCUAUACUUAUGAUAGUGUAUACUCAAAAGUAUCCUUAAUAUCACUAUUAAAACAAAACUCAUGCACUCCGAUUUGCAUAAAAGUAAGAGGGCACUAAAUAACGAACAUUCUUGAAAAAAUCGGGAUUUUGACCAAAUUUUAUUUUUUUUAGAGGUUAUGAAGGGGUGGCAACUAUCUAAACUUAUGUUAGUGUAUACUCAAAAGUAUCCUCAAUAUCACUAUUAAAACAAAACUCAUGCACUCCGAUUUGCAUAAAAAUAAGAGGGCACUAAAUAACGAACAUUCUUAAAAAAAUCGGGAUUUUGACCAAACUUAAUUUUUUCUAGAGGUUAUGAAGGGGUGGCAACUAUCUAAACUUAUGUUAGUGUAUACUCAAAAGUAUCCUUAAUAUCACUAUUAAAACAAAACUCAUGCACUCCGAUUUGCAUAAAAGUAAGAGGGCACUAAAUAACGAACAUUCUUGAAAAAAUCGGGAUUUUGACCAAACUUAAUUUUUUUUACAGGUUAUGAAGGGGUGGCAACUAUCUAAACUUAUGUUAGUGUAUACUCAAAAGUAUCCUUAAUAUCACUAUUAAAACAAAACUCAUGCACUCCGAUUUGCAUAAAAAUAAGAGGGCACUAAAUAACGAACAUUCUUGAAAAAAUCGAGAUUGUGACCAAAUUUUAUUUUUUUUAGAAGUUAUGAAGGGGUGGCAACUAUCUAAACUUAUGUUAGUGUAUACUCAAAAGUAUCCUUAAUAUCACUAUUAAAACAAAACUCAUGCGCUCCGAUUUGCAUAAAAGUAAGAGAGCACUAAAUAACGAACAUUCUUGAAAAAAUCGGGAUUUUGACCAAAUUUUAUUUUUUUUAGAGGUUAUGAAGGGGUGGCAACAAUCUAAACUUAUGUUAGUGUAUACUCAAAAGUAUCCUUAAUAUCACUAUUAAAACAAAACUCAUGCACUCCGAUUUGCAUAAAAGUAAGAGAGCACUAAAUAACGAACAUUCUUGAAAAAAUCGGGAUUUUGACCAAAUUUUAUUUUUUUUAGAGGUUAUGAAGGGGUGGCAACUAUCUAAACUUAUGUUAGUGUAUACUCAAAAGUAUCCUUAAUAUCACUAUUAAAACAAAACUCAUGCACUCCGAUUUGCAUAAAAGUAAGAGAGCACUAAAUAACGAACAUUCUUGAAAAAAUCGGGAUUUUGACCAAAUUUUAUUUUUUUUAGAGGUUAUGAAGGGGUGGCAACUAUCUAAACUUAUGUUAGUGUAUACUCAAAAGUAUCCUUAAUAUCACUAUUAAAACAAAACUCAUGCACUCCGAUUUGCAUAAAAAUAAGAGGGCACUAAAUAACGAACAUUCUUGAAAAAAUCGAGAUUGUGACCAAAUUUUAUUUUUUUUAGAAGUUAUGAAGGGGUGGCAACUAUCUAAACUUAUGUUAGUGUAUACUCAAAAGUAUCCUUAAUAUCACUAUUAAAACAAAACUCAUGCACUCCGAUUUGCAUAAAAGUAAGAGAGCACUAAAUAACGAACAUUCUUGAAAAAAUCGGGAUUUUGACCAAAUUUUAUUUUUUUUAGAGGUUAUGAAGGGGUGGCAACUAUCUAAACUUAUGUUAGUGUAUACUCAAAAGUAUCCUUAAUAUCACUAUUAAAACAAAACUCAUGCACUCCGAUUUGCAUAAAAGUAAGAGAGCACUAAAUAACGAACAUUCUUGAAAAAAUCGGGAUUUUGACCAAAUUUUAUUUUUUUUAGAGGUUAUGAAGGGGUGGCAACUAUCUAAACUUAUGUUAGUGUAUACUCAAAAGUAUCCUUAAUAUCACUAUUAAAACAAAACUCAUGCACUCCGAUUUGCAUAAAAAUAAGAGGGCACUAAAUAACGAACAUUCUUGAAAAAAUCGGGAUUUUGACCAAAUUUUAUUUUUUUUAGAAGUUAUGAAGCGGUGGCAACUAUCUAAACUUAUGUUAGUGUAUACUCAAAAGUAUCCUUAAUAUCACUAUUAAAACAAAACUCAUGCACUCCGAUUUGCAUAAAAGUAAGAGGGCACUAAAUAACGAACAUUCUUGAAAAAAUCGGGAUUUUGACAUAAUUUUAUUUUUUUUAGAAGUUAUGAAGGGGUGGCAACUAUCUAAACUUAUGUUAGUAUAUACUCAAAAGUAUCCUUAAUAUCACUAUUAAAACAAAACUCAUGCUCUCCGAUUUGCAUAAAAAUAAGAGGGCACUAAAUAACGAACAUUCUUAAAAAAAUCGGGAUUUUGACCAAACUUAAUUUUUUCUAGAGGUUAUGAAGGGGUGGCAACUAUCUAAACUUAUGUUAGUGUAUACUCAAAAGUAUCCUUAAUAUCACUAUUAAAACAAAACUCAUGCACUCCGAUUUGCAUAAAAGUAAGAGGGCACUAAAUAACGAACAUUCUUGAAAAAAUCGGGAUUUUGACCAAAUUUUAUUUUUUUUAGAAGUUAUGAAGGGGUGGCAACUAUCUAAACUUAUGUUAGUGUAUACUUAAAAGUAUCCUUAAUAUCACUAUUAAAACAAAACUCAUGCACUCCGAUUUGCAUAAAAGUAAGAGGGCACUAAAUAACGAACAUUCUUGAAAAAAUCGGGAUUUUGACCAAAUUUUAUUUUUUUUAGAAGUUAUGAAGGGGUGGCAACUAUCUAAACUUAUGUUAGUGUAUACUCAAAAGUAUCCUUAAUAUCACUAUUAAAACAAAACUCAUGCACUCCGAUUUGCAUAAAAGUAAGAGGGCACUAAAUAACGAACAUUCUUGAAAAAAUCGGGAUUUUGACCAAACUUAAUUUUUUUUACAGGUUAUGAAGGGGUGGCAACUAUCUAUACUUAUCAUAGUGUAUACUCAAAAGUAUCCUUAAUAUCACUAUUAAAACAAAACUCAUGCACUCCGAUUUGCAUAAAAGUAAGAGGGCACUAAAUAACGAACAUUCUUGAAAAAAUCGGGAUUUUGACCAAAUUUUAUUUUUUUUAGAGGUUAUGAAGGGGUGGCAACUAUCUAAACUUAUGUUAGUGUAUACUCAAAAGUAUCCUCAAUAUCACUAUUAAAACAAAACUCAUGCACUCCGAUUUGCAUAAAAAUAAGAGGGCACUAAAUAACGAACAUUCUUAAAAAAAUCGGGAUUUUGACCAAACUUAAUUUUUUCUAGAGGUUAUGAAGGGGUGGCAACUAUCUAAACUUAUGUUAGUGUAUACUCAAAAGUAUCCUUAAUAUCACUAUUAAAACAAAACUCAUGCACUCCGAUUUGCAUAAAAGUAAGAGGGCACUAAAUAACGAACAUUCUUGAAAAAAUCGGGAUUUUGACCAAACUUAAUUUUUUCUAGAGGUUAUGAAGGGGUGGCAACUAUCUAAACUUAUGUUAGUGUAUACUCAAAAGUAUCCUUAAUAUCACUAUUAAAACAAAACUCAUGCACUCCGAUUUGCAUAAAAGUAAGAGGGCACUAAAUAACGAACAUUCUUGAAAAAAUCGGGAUUUUGACCAAACUUAAUUUUUUUUACAGGUUAUGAAGGGGUGGCAACUAUCUAAACUUAUGUUAGUGUAUACUCAAAAGUAUCCUUAAUAUCACUAUUAAAACAAAACUCAUGCACUCCGAUUUGCAUAAAAAUAAGAGGGCACUAAAUAACGAACAUUCUUGAAAAAAUCGAGAUUGUGACCAAAUUUUAUUUUUUUUAGAAGUUAUGAAGGGGUGGCAACUAUCUAAACUUAUGUUAGUGUAUACUCAAAAGUAUCCUUAAUAUCACUAUUAAAACAAAACUCAUGCGCUCCGAUUUGCAUAAAAGUAAGAGAGCACUAAAUAACGAACAUUCUUGAAAAAAUCGGGAUUUUGACCAAAUUUUAUUUUUUUUAGAGGUUAUGAAGGGGUGGCAACUAUCUAAACUUAUGUUAGUGUAUACUCAAAAGUAUCCUUAAUAUCACUAUUAAAACAAAACUCAUGCACUCCGAUUUGCAUAAAAAUAAGAGGGCACUAAAUAACGAACAUUCUUGAAAAAAUCGAGAUUGUGACCAAAUUUUAUUUUUUUUAGAAGUUAUGAAGGGGUGGCAACUAUCUAAACUUAUGUUAGUCUAUACUCAAAAGUAUCCUUAAUAUCACUAUUAAAACAAAACUCAUGCACUCCGAUUUGCAUAAAAAUAAGAGGGCACUAAAUAACGAACAUUCUUGAAAAAAUCGAGAUUGUGACCAAAUUUUAUUUUUUUUAGAAGUUAUGAAGGGGUGGCAACUAUCUAAACUUAUGUUAGUGUAUACUCAAAAGUAUCCUUAAUAUCACUAUUAAAACAAAACUCAUGCGCUCCGAUUUGCAUAAAAGUAAGAGAGCACUAAAUAACGAACAUUCUUGAAAAAAUCGGGAUUUUGACCAAAUUUUAUUUUUUUUAGAGGUUAUGAAGGGGUGGCAACAAUCUAAACUUAUGUUAGUGUAUACUCAAAAGUAUCCUUAAUAUCACUAUUAAAACAAAACUCAUGCACUCCGAUUUGCAUAAAAGUAAGAGAGCACUAAAUAACGAACAUUCUUGAAAAAAUCGGGAUUUUGACCAAAUUUUAUUUUUUUUAGAGGUUAUGAAGGGGUGGCAACUAUCUAAACUUAUGUUAGUGUAUACUCAAAAGUAUCCUUAAUAUCACUAUUAAAACAAAACUCAUGCACUCCGAUUUGCAUAAAAGUAAGAGAGCACUAAAUAACGAACAUUCUUGAAAAAAUCGGGAUUUUGACCAAAUUUUAUUUUUUUUAGAGGUUAUGAAGGGGUGGCAACUAUCUAAACUUAUGUUAGUGUAUACUCAAAAGUAUCCUUAAUAUCACUAUUAAAACAAAACUCAUGCACUCCGAUUUGCAUAAAAAUAAGAGGGCACUAAAUAACGAACAUUCUUGAAAAAAUCGAGAUUGUGACCAAAUUUUAUUUUUUUUAGAAGUUAUGAAGGGGUGGCAACUAUCUAAACUUAUGUUAGUGUAUACUCAAAAGUAUCCUUAAUAUCACUAUUAAAACAAAACUCAUGCACUCCGAUUUGCAUAAAAGUAAGAGAGCACUAAAUAACGAACAUUCUUGAAAAAAUCGGGAUUUUGACCAAAUUUUAUUUUUUUUAGAGGUUAUGAAGGGGUGGCAACUAUCUAAACUUAUGUUAGUGUAUACUCAAAAGUAUCCUUAAUAUCACUAUUAAAACAAAACUCAUGCACUCCGAUUUGCAUAAAAGUAAGAGAGCACUAAAUAACGAACAUUCUUGAAAAAAUCGGGAUUUUGACCAAAUUUUAUUUUUUUUAGAGGUUAUGAAGGGGUGGCAACUAUCUAAACUUAUGUUAGUGUAUACUCAAAAGUAUCCUUAAUAUCACUAUUAAAACAAAACUCAUGCACUCCGAUUUGCAUAAAAAUAAGAGGGCACUAAAUAACGAACAUUCUUGAAAAAAUCGGGAUUUUGACCAAAUUUUAUUUUUUUUAGAAGUUAUGAAGCGGUGGCAACUAUCUAAACUUAUGUUAGUGUAUACUCAAAAGUAUCCUUAAUAUCACUAUUAAAACAAAACUCAUGCACUCCGAUUUGCAUAAAAGUAAGAGGGCACUAAAUAACGAACAUUCUUGAAAAAAUCGGGAUUUUGACAUAAUUUUAUUUUUUUUAGAAGUUAUGAAGGGGUGGCAACUAUCUAAACUUAUGUUAGUAUAUACUCAAAAGUAUCCUUAAUAUCACUAUUAAAACAAAACUCAUGCUCUCCGAUUUGCAUAAAAAUAAGAGGGCACUAAAUAACGAACAUUCUUAAAAAAAUCGGGAUUUUGACCAAACUUAAUUUUUUCUAGAGGUUAUGAAGGGGUGGCAACUAUCUAAACUUAUGUUAGUGUAUACUCAAAAGUAUCCUUAAUAUCACUAUUAAAACAAAACUCAUGCACUCCGAUUUGCAUAAAAGUAAGAGGGCACUAAAUAACGAACAUUCUUGAAAAAAUCGGGAUUUUGACCAAAUUUUAUUUUUUUUAGAAGUUAUGAAGGGGUGGCAACUAUCUAAACUUAUGUUAGUGUAUACUUAAAAGUAUCCUUAAUAUCACUAUUAAAACAAAACUCAUGCACUCCGAUUUGCAUAAAAGUAAGAGGGCACUAAAUAACGAACAUUCUUGAAAAAAUCGGGAUUUUGACCAAAUUUUAUUUUUUUUAGAAGUUAUGAAGGGGUGGCAACUAUCUAAACUUAUGUUAGUGUAUACUCAAAAGUAUCCUUAAUAUCACUAUUAAAACAAAACUCAUGCACUCCGAUUUGCAUAAAAGUAAGAGGGCACUAAAUAACGAACAUUCUUGAAAAAAUCGGGAUUUUGACCAAACUUAAUUUUUUUUACAGGUUAUGAAGGGGUGGCAACUAUCUAUACUUAUGAUAGUGUAUACUCAAAAGUAUCCUUAAUAUCACUAUUAAAACAAAACUCAUGCACUCCGAUUUGCAUAAAAGUAAGAGGGCACUAAAUAACGAACAUUCUUGAAAAAAUCGGGAUUUUGACCAAAUUUUAUUUUUUUUAGAGGUUAUGAAGGGGUGGCAACUAUCUAAACUUAUGUUAGUGUAUACUCAAAAGUAUCCUCAAUAUCACUAUUAAAACAAAACUCAUACACUCCGAUUUGCAUAAAAAUAAGAGGGCACUAAAUAACGAACAUUCUUAAAAAAAUCGGGAUUUUGACCAAACUUAAUUUUUUCUAGAGGUUAUGAAGGGGUGGCAACUAUCUAAACUUAUGUUAGUGUAUACUCAAAAGUAUCCUUAAUAUCACUAUUAAAACAAAACUCAUGCACUCCGAUUUGCAUAAAAGUAAGAGGGCACUAAAUAACGAACAUUCUUGAAAAAAUCGGGAUUUUGACCAAACUUAAUUUUUUCUAGAGGUUAUGAAGGGGUGGCAACUAUCUAAACUUAUGUUAGUGUAUACUCAAAAGUAUCCUUAAUAUCACUAUUAAAACAAAACUCAUGCACUCCGAUUUGCAUAAAAGUAAGAGGGCACUAAAUAACGAACAUUCUUGAAAAAAUCGGGAUUUUGACCAAACUUAAUUUUUUUUACAGGUUAUGAAGGGGUGGCAACUAUCUAAACUUAUGUUAGUGUAUACUCAAAAGUAUCCUUAAUAUCACUAUUAAAACAAAACUCAUGCACUCCGAUUUGCAUAAAAAUAAGAGGGCACUAAAUAACGAACAUUCUUGAAAAAAUCGAGAUUGUGACCAAAUUUUAUUUUUUUUAGAAGUUAUGAAGGGGUGGCAACUAUCUAAACUUAUGUUAGUCUAUACUCAAAAGUAUCCUUAAUAUCACUAUUAAAACAAAACUCAUGCACUCCGAUUUGCAUAAAAAUAAGAGGGCACUAAAUAACGAACAUUCUUGAAAAAAUCGGGAUUUUGACCAAAUUUUAUUUUUUUUAGAGGUUAUGAAGGGGUGGCAACAAUCUAAACUUAUGUUAGUGUAUACUCAAAAGUAUCCUUAAUAUCACUAUUAAAACAAAACUCAUGCACUCCGAUUUGCAUAAAAGUAAGAGAGCACUAAAUAAGGAACAUUCUUGAAAAAAUCGGGAUUUUGACCAAACUUAAUUUUUUUUACAGGUUAUGAAGGGGUGGCAACUAU